UCAGGACGAACGCUGGCGGCGUGCUUAACACAUGCAAGUCGAGCGAUGAAGUCUCUCGGGACGGAUUAGCGGCGGACGGGUGAGUAACACGUGGGUAACCUGCCUCAUAGAGGGGAAUAGCCUUCCGAAAGGAAGAUUAAUACCGCAUAAGAUUGUAGUUUCGCAUGAAACAGCAAUUAAAGGAGUAAUCCGCUAUGAGAUGGACCCGCGUCGCAUUAGCUAGUUGGUGAGGUAACGGCUCACCAAGGCGACGAUGCGUAGCCGACCUGAGAGGGUGAUCGGCCACAUUGGGACUGAGACACGGCCCAGACUCCUACGGGAGGCAGCAGUGGGGAAUAUUGCACAAUGGGGGAAACCCUGAUGCAGCAAACCGCCGCGUGAGUGAUGACGGUCUUCGGAUUGUAAAGCUCUGUCUUCAGGGACGAUAAUGACGGUACCUGAGGAGGAAGCCACGGCUAACUACGUGCCAGCAGCCGC
rnacentral:rRNA from 1 species